GAUGAACGCUAGCUGGAGGCUUAAUACAUGCAAGUCGAGCGGGAUUCAGUUGUCUUCGGAUGAUUGAUGAGAGCGGCGGACGGGUGAGUAACGCGUACACGACCUACCUUUGACAGGGGGAUAGCCCUGGGAAACUGGGAUUAAUACCGCAUAUUAUUCUGAUUAAUAAAGAGUUGGAAUGAAAGUUCAGGCGGUCAAAGAUGGGUGUGCGUCUGAUUAGCUAGUUGGUAGGGUAACGGCCUACCAAGGCGAUGAUCAGUAGGGGGCGUGAGAGCGUGAUCCCCCACACGGGUACUGAGACACGGACCCG
rnacentral:rRNA from 1 species